GAUUGGGACGAAGUCGUAACAAGGUAGCCGUACCGGAAGGUGCGGCUGGAUCACCUCCUUUCUAAGGAGCACCACGAGAAACACUCCAAUUGGUGGGGUGUAAGCCGUGAGGGGUUCUCGUCUGUAGUGGACGGAAGCCGGGUGCACAACAACAAGCAAGCCAGACACACUAUUGGGUCCUGAGGCAACAUCUCUGUUGGUUUCGGGAUGUUGUCCCACCAUCUUGGUGGUGGGGUGUGGUGUUUGAGAAUUGGAUAGUGGUUGCGAGCAUCAAUUGGAUGCGCUGCCUUUUGGUGGCGUGUUCUGUUGUGCAAUUUUAUUCUUUGGUUUUUGUGUUUAUAAGUGUCUAAGGGCGCAUGGUGGAUGCCUUGGCAUCGAGAGCCGAUGAAGGACGUGGGAGGCU
rnacentral:misc_RNA from 1 species